GUAGUCUGCAACUCGACUACAUGAAGCUGGAAUCGCUAGUAAUCGCGAAUCAGAAUGUCGCGGUGAAUACGUUCCGGGUCUUGUACACACCGCCCGUCACACCAUGGGAGUCAGCAACGCCCGAGCCGGUGACCCAACCGAAAGGAGGGAGCCGUCGAAGGUGGGGCCGAUAACUGGGGUGAAGUCGUAACAAGGUAGC
rnacentral:rRNA from 1 species